rnacentral:miRNA from 1 species
CAAAUCAUGAUUUGCUGCUGU